CCUACGGGAGGCAGCAGUGAGGAAUAUUGGUCAAUGGGCGGAAGCCUGAACCAGCCAAGUAGCGUGCGGGAUGAAGGCCCUACGGGUCGUAAACCGCUUUUGCACGGGGAUAACACCCUCCACUUGUGGAGGUCUGCAGGUACCGUGCGAAUAAGGGCCGGCUAAUUCCGUGCCAGCAGCCGCGGUAAUACGGAAGGCCCGAGCGUUAUCCGGAUUCAUUGGGCUUAAAGGGAGCGUAGGCGGGCGUUCAAGUCAGCUGUAAAAUCGCGCGGCUCAACCGCGCCCCGCAGUUGAAACUGGACGCAUUGAGUUCACAACAGGCAGGCGGAAUUCGUGGUGUAGCGGUGAAAUGCAUAGAUAUCACGAGGAACCCCGAUUGCGAAGGCAGCCUGCCGGGGUGCGACUGACGCUGAGGCUCGAAGGUGUGGGUAUCAAACAGGAUUAGAUACCCCAGUAGUC
rnacentral:rRNA from 1 species